AAAAGAAAGUCUGUGCUCACUAAAACUUUAUUGAUACCGCCAACAAACAGACAGACCCCUAUCGCGCAUGCGCAAUGAUUAAACCGGCCUAGGGAAAGGGGCGGGGUUCAGCCCGGGGCGCACAGAGAACACUGGCGCAUGCGCGCGGGUCCUCCCUGCCUCUGGGCGACUCUGGGUUGGGGCGUGAGCUGCAGGCGCAGUUUCUUCAGUUUAUCCAUCAUUAUGGAGUAAGCCAACUGUCCUGUUGUAAGCAACACUGUGAAGUAAGAAACUGAGGCCUCUUGUCCAACAGCCAUGUGAGUGAACUUGGAAUUGGAUCCUCCAGCCCCAUUCAAGCCUUUGGACGACUGUAGCCCCAGCUUACAGUUUGACUGCAGCUUCAUGAGAGAAUCUGAACCAGAACCAGCCAACUAAGCUGCUCCCAGGUUUCUGAUCCUGAGAAACUCAUUUUAAGCCCUAAAUUUUGCAUAAUUAGUGGUACAUCAAUAGAUAACUAAUAUAAGGAGGCAGGAGUCACAACAUGGUAGUCUAGCCUGGAAAAGAUAGCCAGAAAUUCAUUUCAACAAGAGGAGUAGACAGAAACAUAUUACAUUUAAGUAGGUCAAUUAAAGUAGGUCUUGAUAAUAUGUCAAGCCUGGAGGAUCAGGGAGCCAGCAAAAUUGGCACACUUUAGAAAAGUUGGUACCUAAGUAUUUAAUUCAAAGGCUGGUAGAAGAUACAGGUGAAUUUGAUCUUAAUGGACACAGCAAAGAGAAGCUAGAGUUACCUUACAAAUUGAGGGACUCUUAAGAUAUUUGAUGUGGAAGUUGUCAUAGUUAUCAGAGUUCAAUCAAUUAAAUAGACAUCAUUGCCACCUUCUAGGAAAUCCUAAUAUUUUUAAAUGGAUAAGUUGAUAUAAGCCAGCAUAUAAAAAGAUAUAAUUCCAGAUCCCAGAAGCACAUUCCUCUUUCUCCUCAUCAUUCUCUCUGCCACCAUAAGGCUCUCACCACCUCAUGUCUAUCACUUAAUUGCUACCAGGUUGUUUCUUAUUCUUUAGACUUGUCCCUUUAACUACACUGUAGGCUGCUUAAGGAAAAGAUCAUGUCUCCUUCAAUAAUCCCCUUCCAACCACAAGUUCUUCUUAUUUGAAAUGUGAGUAUAUGCGGCCUUAUUUCUGUAUACCUUCUCUGAAACCACAAGAAUUUUGGAUCACUAUACAUGAAUCAUUUCAAGUUGCUGCCAUCUUAUCUGUAGUGAGAUUUAGGGUCCUCUGGGUUAUUUGCUUCUUCCCUCUUCUGCCUCUGUAUACUAUUAGUUAUGUUCUCUCCAAUUCUUACAAAGGCAUAUUAUUUUCUUUAUAUUGUAGGUAGUAGCAGGUGGUACAAGGAAUGAUGUUAGGUGUUGGGAGGACAUACUGCCAUGGAACAGAUAGACAUGGACCCUGCUUUCCUAUCAUUUGCUACCCAGUUUUUAGGGUGAUAUUAGAGGAUACCCAAUGUCUCCGUCAUCUGCUGCUACAGAGACCUGUUUUAUGCUCUUCAGAGAAAGGCCUCCAGUCCUCUACUGAAGAUGAAGAAGACUGUAGUUGACCCAUAGUUUACAGUGCAAAAGGGGAUGUGGGAUCUAACUGCUUCGUCAACAGACUUCCAAGUAAUUCUCUGUAUUUAGCCCCACUUUCACUGCACUUUUUCAUUUGCCAUAGCCAAAGACUUAUAAUGAUUUACUGUGGCCCUAACUGUGAAAUUUUGGCUGUCAAAACAGAGUAUUUGGAUAAAAGUAUUAGUAGCUUCUUUUUAUGGAGUAUCUGAUUUGUACCAGGGUCAUUAUAAAUAUUAUUUAUAAUUUUCAAAACCACCCUGAAACUACAAGUUAUUAUCAUUCCCCAUUGCAUGGAAUUGAUGAAUAAUUUAUCUGGAGUCACAUAGCAAAUAAGUAAAUGGGUUUAGGAUUUAAAAUCAAGUCUGGAUUGUUGGCACUAAAACUGAUGCUCUUUUGGACAUGUUCCACUGUUUUUGUUGGUUUUAGAAGAGGAAUUAACCUUGUAAGUUAUUGGCACAAUUGAAAUGUGUUAAAUAAUGCUUCUGUUCUGCACUUCAUCUCAUGAUCAUAAGGUGUGUUAAAACAUAAUUCUCAUAGUGGCCUUGUAUUUAGGGUGUAGCUGGAGCAGGCAUUGAGAGUGGAGAGUGAGAGACCAAACAUUAUUGGAGUGAAGAUUUGAAAAAGUUGAUGAUCCAGCAAAUAGUAGGAAAUGUUAAUGAACUGUGAAGGGGAAAAGCUUGCAAUUAUAUUUAUAUUCUCUAUAUUUAGGUUAUGAUGAAAAACCAAAUGAUGAAAUAAAAUAUAGCUUUUUUCUGUUGU